GACGACCGCUGGCGGCGUGCUUAACACAUGCAAGUCGAACGGAAAGGCCCUGCUUUUGUGGGGUGCUCGAGUGGCGAACGGGUGAGUAACACGUGAGUAACCUGCCCUUGACUUUGGGAUAACUUCAGGAAACUGGGGCUAAUACCGGAUAGGAGCUCCUGCUGCAUGGUGGGGGUUGGAAAGUUUCGGCGGUUGGGGAUGGACUCGCGGCUUAUCAGCUUGUUGGUGGGGUAGUGGCUUACCAAGGCUUUGACGGGUAGCCGGCCUGAGAGGGUGACCGGACACAUUGGGACUGAGAUACGGCCCAGACUCCUACGGGAGGCAGCAGUGGGGAAUAUUGCACAAUGGGCGGAAGCCUGAUGCAGCAACGCCGCGUGCGGGAUGACGGCCUUCGGGUUGUAAACCGCUUUCGCCUGUGACGAAGCGUGAGUGACGGUAAUGGGUAAAGAAGCACCGGCUAACUACGUG
rnacentral:rRNA from 1 species